GACAGAGGCCUCGAGCGUUAUUCGGAAUUACUGGGCUUAAAGGGUGCGUAGGCGGCGCGGAAAGUUGGGUGUGAAAUCCCUCGGCUCAACCGAGGAACUGCGCCCAAUACUACCGUGCUUGAGGGAGAUAGAGGUGAGCGGAACUUAGGGUGGAGCGGUGAAAUGCGUUGAUAUCCUAAGGAACACCAGUGGCGAAGGCGGCUCACUGGACCGGUAUUGACGCUGAGGUGCGAAAGCGUGGGGAGCAAACAGG
rnacentral:rRNA from 1 species